rnacentral:tRNA from 1 species
GCAAUGUAGCUCAGUGGUAGAGCACUUGUCUCGCACGUACGAGGCCAUGGAUUCAAUCCGCAGCAUCACA